CUUGCUUUAGUGGAACAGCCAGGAAAGGGUUCACAGGAGAUAACUAUGCCUCUUUUCAUUUUGAAUAAUGAUUCAAUCUCAAAGUGGAAAAAUGUAACAUUUUAAUUUUGUGUAAUUUUUCAAUGUUUAACAACUGCAGAGCUUUCCAGAUGAUCCAGGCGAGCAGAGCGGUGAUCGAGCUGUCAGACGGAGUCUACGACAGGAUCCUACAGAUACAGACAACAGCCAUGGAGUUCCAUGAGAAGUUAAAGCCCAUGGCAGUGAAGGAGGGGCUUAAAGGUCGUAAGGUCACCAGAGCUGUGGAGAGUUUCAGCUGGAACAUCACCAUAU